GAUGAACGCUAGCUACAGGCUUAACACAUGCAAGUCGAGGGGCAGCAUGGUCUUAGCUUGCUAAGGCCGAUGGCGACCGGCGCACGGGUGAGUAACACGUAUCCAACCUGCCGUCUACUCUUGGACAGCCUUCUGAAAGGAAGAUUAAUACAAGAUGGCAUCAUGAGUCCGCAUGUUCACAUGAUUAAAGGUAUUCCGGUAGACGAUGGGGAUGCGUUCCAUUAGAUAGUAGGCGGGGUAACGGCCCACCUAGUCUUCGAUGGAUAGGGGUUCUGAGAGGAAGGUCCCCCACAUUGGAACUGAGACACGGUCCAAACUCCUACGGGAGGCAGCAGUGAGGAAGAUUGGUCAAUGGGCGAGAGCCUGAACCAGCCAAGUAGCGUGAAGGACGACUGCCCUAUGGGUUGUAAACUUCUUUUAUAAAGGAAUAAAGUCGGGUAUGGAUACCCGUUUGCAUGUACUUUAUGAAUAAGGAUCGGCUAACUCCGUG
rnacentral:rRNA from 1 species